GGCACGUGCACGCCCGAGCCCUCAAAUCCCAACACACCUGUGAACCCACCGUGGGCCUUCGGGCCUAUGUAUAUAUCAAACCCUGAAUGUGUACCGGAAUGUAAACUUUGCCUUUUGAAACGCAAAUUGAAAUACAACUUUCAACAACGGAUCUCUUGGCUCUCGCAUCGAUGAAGAACGCAGCGAAAUGCGAUAAGUAAUGUGAAUUGCAGAUUUUCAGUGAAUCAUCGAAUCUUUGAACGCACCUUGCGCUCCUUGGUAUUCCGAGGAGCAUGCCUGUUUGAGUGUCAUUAAAUUCUCAACCCCGUCGGUUUGUUCUGGCGGGGCUUGGACUUGGAGCGUGCUGGCGAAGGUCGGCUCCUCUUUAAAUGCAUCAGCGGAAGGAACCUUUGUCUUUCUUGCCUUCAGCGUGAUAAUCGUGUUGCGCUGUGGGCGGAAGUCGGAAGUCCGCUUCUAAUGGUCUUCGGACGGUUAUACAUGACG
rnacentral:rRNA from 1 species